UCGCCAUUCUCUAAUCUCGAGUACCCAGGGACACAAUACACUGCGGAAGGCCACAGGGACCUCUGCCCAGGAAAGCCAGGUGGUUUCAAAAGGAAAAGCUUUGGGAGAUAGAAGUCCUCGUUUUGACCUCUGCCCUCCUUGUACACCAGGAACCAGAAAAACUUCAUCUCUUUUACAAGAAACAUUGAGAUUCCUGUAAAAUUAAGAAAUCACACAAUUUGAUGCUCUACAUUAUCUAAAGCAAAUGAGACUUCUAUUUGGAACAAAGACUACCUUGUUGGGAAAUGAGUCUGCAAGUUAAAGUGUUUUCUGGGGUCACUCUAAGCUCCAGUGUCAAGGAGUCAAGUCCUUCGGGAAUUCUCUGCCUCCACUCCCUGUGGCAGAGCUAGAGUGGCUGCUAUGCUUCUGAGCUCAGCCAGCAUCCAGGCAGAGAGUGAGAUACAGCCUCCUCUUCUUGA
rnacentral:lncRNA from 1 species